GAGCUCCCAGGGCCUUUCCCGCUGCUUCCUCUACCCCUGUAUUUCGCUUGGCUCUCUAAAUUGACUCAGCUCCAGUUUGGAAGAGAGAAAUAAACAUUUAGAGGAUUUAAUUAGAAAGCCCAGAGAAAAAGCCAGAAAACCAAGGCUCGUUAGCAGUGGCACAAGAUCUUACAGAGGAUGAAGAAACAGUAGAAGAUUCCAUAAUUGAGGAUGAAGAUGAUGAAGCCGAGGUAGAAGAAGAUGAACCCACAGAUUUGGUAGAAGAUAAAGAGGAAGAAGAUGUGUCUGGUGAACCUGAAGCUUCACCGAGUGCAGAUACAACUAUACUGUUUGUAAAAGGAGAAGAUUUUCCAGCAAAUAACAUUGUGAAGUUCCUGGUAGGCUUUACCAACAAGGGUACAGAAGAUUUUAUUGUUGAAUCCUUAGAUGCCUCAUUCCGUUAUCCUCAGGACUACCAGUUUUAUAUCCAGAAUUUCACAGCUCUUCCUCUGAACACUGUAGUGCCACCCCAGAGACAGGCAACUUUUGAGUACUCUUUCAUUCCUGCAGAGCCCAUGGGCGGACGACCAUUUGGUUUGGUCAUCA
rnacentral:sRNA from 1 species